rnacentral:rRNA from 1 species
UACAGAGGGGGCAAGCGUUGUUCGGAAUUACUGGGCGUAAAGGGCGCGUAGGUGGCCUUCUAAGUUGAACGUGAAAUCCCUGGGCUCAACCCAGGAACUGCGUCCAAGACUGGGAGGCUUGAAUCCGGGAGAGGGUGGCGGAAUUCCCCAAGUAGAGGUGAAAUUCGUAGAUAUGGGGAGGAACACCGGUGGCGAAGGCGGGUCUCUGGACAGUUCCUGACACUGAGGCACGAAGGCCAGGGGAGCAAACGGG